rnacentral:lncRNA from 1 species
GAUGAUUAAUGAAAUGAUCGUGUGGGCGUGGGUGUGAUUUUCCAGAGAGAGACUCAAGCUUCUCUAGCAACCGUAUCAUGCCUGACAUCAAGAAUUCAUAGUGCGAGUCCAUAGUGGAUUGAAGCUUGGAAUAUUGUAAUUGCUACAAUUGAUGGUGUUGUCAGGUUGUGUUUGGAAGGCAGCCAACUUUUUGGUGAGAACAUGGAGAUGGUGGUCUUGAAAAUUAUCCAGCUAGAGUGUGGAGGUUUGUUAGCUUAGCGGUGAUGUUAUGGAGGUGAAGGUCGUCCAUGAUUG